GUUCUGAGUUUCCUUAGGGCAUGCUUCUGAACAGCAUCAGGAACGGCAGCAAGAGCCCUGGGAUUCAGCAAAGCCAUGUUAUCCAGGAACCUUGGAUCUCUGAGCUGUCCCAGGCUCCCUCUGCCAGCCGCUUGCUUCAGGGCUUCAAAGGAAGGCUCGGCUGCAGUACCCAGCAUGCUUUUCUGCGGCUGCCACAGCCCUCUUUUGAAGCACCAUGGUAGCCAACAGAGAGGAUUCUGUGUUACGUACAGUAUGACCCUGGAGGAGCCAGCCAGCUGCUGUGACUCAGCUAAAAACAGGGAACUCGCUAUGAGAGGCUAUGGUGAAUUCUCGAAGUUCUAUUACUUUCAGAAGCAGUUCUGAAUUAAAGGUGUCAACUGCCAAUAAGACAGUAGUAUAUUGUGUGCACGUGGAGGUCAGAAAACAGCUUGUAAGAACUGGUUGUCAUUUCACUUGUGGAUCUCAGGGAUGAAACUCUUAUUGCCAGACUUCAUAGCUGGCAUAUUUACCUCUGUACCAUAGCACCAGCCUCAAUCUCAUUUUAACAGGCAUAUGUUUCUAUGUACGACACAUAUAUGACACAUAUAUGCUGCUGUUGCAGAAGAGGUUUCAGAUUCCUUGGACCAGGAGGGACAACAAGCCUGGUAAUGGGAAUUGAACUCUGAUCCAUGGAAGAGCAGGAAGUACUCUGAAUUGCCGAGUCAUCUUUCCAGUCUCAACAUAUUUAUAUAUAAAUCUUUAAAGUAUUUGAAGUCAUUUGUCAAUUUAUUGUCAACAAGUAUUGUCAAUAAAUGUCAUAUAACCUCA